rnacentral:rRNA from 1 species
GGAUGAACGCUGGCGGCGCGCCUAACACAUGCAAGUCGAACGGCACCUAUCUUCGGAUAGAAGCGAGUGGCGAACGGCUGAGUAACACGUGGAGAACCUGCCCCCUCCCCCGGGAUAGCCGCCCGAAAGGACGGGUAAUACCGGAUACCCCGGGGUGCCGCAUGGCACCCCGGCUAAAGCCCCGACGGGAGGGGAUGGCUCCGCGGCCCAUCAGGUAGACGGCGGGGUGACGGCCCACCGUGCCGACAACGGGUAGCCGGGUUGAGAGACCGACCGGCCAGAUUGGGACUGAGACACGGCCCAGACUCCUACGGGAGGCAGCAGUGGGGAAUCUUGCGCAAUGGGGGGAACCCUGACGCAGCGACGCCGCGUGCGGGACGGAGGCCUUCGGGUCGUAAACCGCUUUCAGCAGGGAAGAGUCAAGACUGUACCUGCAGAAGAAGCCCCGGCUAACUACGUGCCAGCAGCCGCGGUAAUACGUAGGGGGCGAGCGUUAUCCGGAUUCAUUGGGCGUAAAGCGCGCGUAGGCGGCCCGGCAGGCCGGGGGUCGAAGCGGGGGGCUCAACCCCCCGAAGCCCCCGGAACCUCCGCGGCUUGGGUCCGGUAGGGGAGGGUGGAACACCCGGUGUAGCGGUGGAAUGCGCAGAUAUCGGGUGGAACACCGGUGGCGAAGGCGGCCCUCUGGGCCGAGACCGACGCUGAGGCGCGAAAGCUGGGGGAGCGAACAGGAUUAGAUACCCUGGUAGUCCCAGCCGUAAACGAUGGACGCUAGGUGUGGGGGGACGAUCCCCCCGUGCCGCAGCCAACGCAUUAAGCGUCCCGCCUGGGGAGUACGGCCGCAAG